rnacentral:piRNA from 1 species
AACUUCGACAAAAGCUUUCCACUCAGGCC